GGCGGCGGGCAGGCCGGUGCCGGUGCCGGUUCUGCGGCAUCGGAAAUUCUGCCGGGGAGCAGUUUGUGCCACUACCCCGGGCGCUGACCGAGGCUGUGACGCAGUUUCUCCAACCUUGCCCAGGAGCCCCGCGUCCGGCCCGGGCCCCGCAGGGUCCCACUUUGGGGCCGGGCGUGCUGGAAGGGGGUCCCGUCCGGGCGCUGCUUUGCGGCUCGUUCCACCGGCGGUAAUUUAACGGGUUCACUGUCAGCCCGGUGCGGGAGAAACGGGCUGUGAAGGGGAACGAGCCCGGUGCAUUGUGGGGGCGGGAGUCUAUCCUGCUGCACAGCGAGGUUGGGUUCAGCGCCGAGAGAGACUACAACUCCCAGCGUGCACCGCGCCCCAAUUCUCCCCUGUUUGGGUAACUGCAAGUUGCUGCCCGAUGCUCUGGGGCCCGGCCUAGGUACCUUGCGGGGGAGCGGAGGCAGGGACGUGCUCUUCACACCGGCGUAGAAGUCCGAGAGAUGAGGCUGGAGCUGUCCCAGAAAUAGCUCUCUUGGGAGCAGUCCCUACAGUCCAGCUUGAGUGAGCUUGAUCCAGGGGAAGGAACUUCUUCUGGAAAUGUGGCCUUGAGAUGUUUCCAUCCACACUAGUGGAGUGGCUCAGCCAGAUGAGACGGAGAAGGAAGAGGAUGAAGGAUGACACGUUCCAAAAGAUCCUGCAAGCCUCUGGUGCUUCGGAUACCGAGCACAAGGCUUGGAGAAUCCCCUAGCAGAAUGAAUGGACAGGGAUAGUACGAUUAAUAGAAAAGCACAGGAAAAGGAGAGAGACAUCCAGCAGGAGAUGCUAGCACUUUUCAAGUAGCAAACAAACAUGCUGGAGGCUCUUGUUGACCUUCAGGUUCAACAGACCCGUGCUCUCCUCCCUCUGCAACUCAUAAAGAACUGCAUUCUGGGACCUACAUAUGCACCCCUACAUUCCACAUAGUGUCUGGGACUGCUUCAGCUAUCAUUACCGCUCCACUCUGGGAGAGGGUACAGGCAAUCACAGCAGCCCAUACACUGACCUGUGAGAGAGACGGUCGAUGUAUGUGUUGUGAAAUGGAAAUGACUGUUCUUUCCCUGUAUUUAUAAAGUUUCAUUCAGUUAUAAAUA